UAGUCUCGCACAGAUGCAUAUCAAUAAGCGGAGGAAAAGAAACUAACAAGGAUUCCCCUAGUAACGGCGAGUGAAGCGGGAAGAGCUCAAAUUUGAAAUCUUAAAGGGUUUCCCUUUACGAAUUGUAGUUUAAAGAAGUGUUUUCUGUUGAGGUUUUGGUAAAAGUUCUUUGGAAUAGGACAUCAUAGAGGGUGAGAAUCCCGUAUUUGACCUUUACUUUCAACUUUGUGAUACACUUUCAAAGAGUCGGAUUGUUUGGGAAUGCAGUCCAAAAUGGGUGGUAAAUUUCAUCUAAAGCUAAAUAUUGGCGAGAGACCGAUAGCGAACAAGUACCGUGAGGGAAAGAUGAAAAGAACUUUGAAAAGAGAGUUAAACAGUACGUGAAAUUGUCAAAAGGGAAGCGUUUGACACCAGUGUUGUUUUUCUGAAAAUCAAUUAAAGAACUGUUUAUGCUAAGCUGUUUAGACUUUAUCAGCUAACUGUUUAGUUUUGAGCUUUUCUUUAAUGCACUUUUCAGUUAACAAGUCAACAUCAAUUUCUUUUGCUGUAAAAAAGCUUGAGGAAGGUGGCUUGAGAUUCGUCUUAAGUGUUUAUAGCCUCUUGCCUAUGCAGUCGGAGAGAUUGAGGUCUGCAGCGUAGAUCCUUCGGGGCUAAAUGCAUUUGUGCUAAGUUAUAGCAUUUUAUAGACAACUUGUUGACUAUGAUUUGUCUUGUAGCUUACUCGCUUAUGUUAUUUUACCUACGCUUAGGAUGUUGAGUAGCGACAUACGCAC
rnacentral:rRNA from 1 species